rnacentral:rRNA from 1 species
UACGUAGGGGGCGAGCGUUAUCCGGAAUUACUGGGCGUAAAGCGCCCGCAGGCGGUUCGCCAAGUUUGGAGUGACAGUUGUCGGCUCAACCGACAAAGGACUUCAAAAACUGGUGAACUUGAGGACGAGAGAGGAACAUGGAACUCCAGGUGUAGUAGUGAAAUGCGCAGAUAUCGGGAAGAACACCCGUGGCGAAGGCGGCACUCUGGGACGGUACUGACGCUGAGACGCGAAAGCGUGGGGAGCGAACAGG